UCCGGUUUGUCACCGGCAGUCUCAUUAGAGUGCCCAACUAAAUGUAGCAACUAAUGACAAGGGUUGCGCUCGUUGCGGGACUUAACCCAACAUCUCACGACACGAGCUGACGACAGCCAUGCAGCACCUCGACUCCACCCCCUUGCGGGGUACCAGUGUUUCCACCGGCGUUGAGAAGCCGUUCGAGCCCAGGUAAGGUUCUUCGCGUUGCGUCGAAUUGAACCACAUGCUCCACCGCUUGUGCGGGCCCCCGUCAAUUCCUUUGAGUUUCAGCCUUGCGACUGUACUCCCCAGGCGGCAUAUUUAACGCGUUAGCUCCGGCACGGACAGAAUGAACUGCCCAGGAGAACGGGGAGGAAGGUGGGGAUGACGUUCGUCUGAC
rnacentral:misc_RNA from 1 species